rnacentral:misc_RNA from 1 species
GAUGAAGAACGCAGCAAAAUGCGAUAAGUAAUGUGAAUUGCAGAAUUCAGUGAAUCAUCGAAUCUUUGAACGCACAUUGCGCCCGUCAGUAUUCUGGCGGGCAUGCCUGUUCGAGCGUCAUUUCAACCCUCAAGCACAGCUUGGUGUUGGGACUCGCGUUAAUUCGCGUUCCCCAAAUUGAUUGGCGGUCACGUCGAGCUUCCAUAGCGUAGUAGUAAAACCCUCGUUACUGGUAAUCGUCGCGGCCACGCCGUUAAACCCCAACUUCUGAAUGUUGACCUCGGAUCAGGUAGGAAUACCCGCUGAACUUAAGCAUAUCAAUAAGCGGAGGA